UUUUCGCCGCUCUGCAAUCUUUAUGCUCAGUUUCCCAUGACUAAGUGCUAUGAAAAUGGUUAAAAGCGGGAAGCCUGGAUUACAGCCCAGUGCAUUAUGGGAGGAGUCUGGAAGCAGUCAAGCAGCGACCGUAGACCAAACUCCAGGAAACAAAAGACAAGAUUCAGCUUUAAGAAAACUAUACGUAAGUGAUUUGGCGAGGCCUCGUUGAAGUGGUAUUCGAAGACGGUAGUGAACAAGCCGUGCGUUCUGUUGGUAUCCUGAGGAGGAGCUUAGACAUUCUGGAGGAGCUCCAAGUCGAGCUGCUCUUCCUCCGCAUGGAAAGGAGCCAGUUGAGGUGGUUCGGGUAUUUAUCAAGGAUGCCUCCUGGAGGUGUGUUUUGGGCAUGUCCAACCAGGAGGGGACCCUGGGGCGGACCCAGGACACGUUGGAGAGAUUAUAUCUCUGGGCUGGCCUGGGAACGCCUUGGUGUUCCCCUGGAGAUGCUGGCUGGAGAGAGGGAGGUCUGGCAUCCCUGCUUAAACUGCUGCCUCACGACCUAGAACUGGAGGAGUGGCAGAUACUGGAUGGAUGGAACCAACAACAAAUGGAUGGGUUACAACUUUUCUGUGGACUCCCUAGGAUUUGAAGCCUAGACUUUUGUGUCAUUAGAACAAAUUCCUUCCAUUUUGAGAACUAUACAUUUGAUUGUAAAAGAUGAUUGUCAUGUUAUUUUUCAAGCUGAAAGGGUUAAAAUUUGCUAUUAAGUAGGAUUAUAGGUAAAGACGUCAUGCACCUGGCAGAUGUUUCAGUUUCAAACUGCUGGGCGUAUUGCUGUUGUGUCAUAAAGAACUGACUCUGAUGUCAGCCUGCAGAAAGGAGAGAUUGUGUCACCAGUUGUUGCCACGGUAACCAGUUGUUCAUCCUCUAAAAUCCAGUUGCAAUAGAGCCAUAUAGACCACUGGUCACACUAUCACAGGCUCAGUUAAAGAUGUGUUGUACUUCAAGGCAGCUAUCAACAGGAACCUUCAGACAGUUGGUCUCCACAGCAUUGCCUUGUUCAUCUGUUUGUGGAUCUGGAGGUCAGAACCUCUGCACACAAUUUGUGACAACAACUCCACACUCCCCAGUUCCCACAUCAAAAACGUCCAGAGGUCCCAUGGGAUGUGACACUUGUGUCCCUGAUAUGUCACGCACUGGCAGAACAGUGAUGGCACAACAUGCGGCCACCAGGAGGGAUCCUGGGUAUCUCUCAGUGUGGAAAGUUAGUGCUUCAUGUUUAAAAACUGAUUUGAGGAAUACAGUGACACCAGGCUUCAGUCACAUUGAGUCCCAGUUACAUUAUAGUAUUUUAGGUACUGGAGAAAAAAAGCCCUCAUUAAACAACAUAAAAUAGAUAUUAAUAUAAUAAACUUCCAGUUAUCAGAA